ACAAAAUGGCCGCUGUGUAAGACAAUGAGGAAGGGUGGGGGGAAUUUGAGGUCUGAACCAGUUACUUGAUCAAACACAUUAUUAGUCACUUCAUCAUCAUAAGAAAAAUGGUCACCCUUCCCAAACAAGAGUUUUAGGUCAACAUGAAAGAAGUAUUUAAGUGUUUACCGCCAGUUUUACAGCUGAUUGCUUUUCCGACAAUUCCAACAAACUGCUUCAGCUUCGAUCUGUGGAGCGAAAAGAGAUCAACCAAUAUGUCCAGACUGUUGAAGAUCAUCCUGGUGGUGGCCAUGUGUGUGCUCUUUUUAGCCACACUGACGUUCAGUGCAGAGGCCCACACAAAAUCCAAGUUACAGCAGCGGGCAUCAUCCGAACCCAGUUCAUGGCACCCAUGGUGCUGUGCGAUAGAACCAAGAAGUGGGGAUUACUAAUUAAACACAGCACAACCAAGACAAGCUGUAAAAGGUUUUUUUUUAAGUCUUGCCAUGUCAUAGGAACAAUUCUGUUCUCCUACACACGAAAAUUAAAUGAAUCCAAAACAUCACCAAAAUUUGAGUUUUUUUCCCUUCUUGAUGACGUUAGAAGUUGACAAACUAAGAAUAAACCAUACAUUAAUGCACUCGCUAGAAACAAGUACACUUGCGCAGUCUGCUUCUUUUCACUUCGGCUAUUGAGGGCGCACUGGUGCAAAUUGUCCUCCUCCAUCAAACUCCGUACUACUUACUUUCUGACUGUACUUUUUACUCUCACAAAUGUUUUCUUUUUUCGAUGCCGUUUUCUGUGGCCCAUGUAUAUUUUUGAGACCAAGUUCAAAUUUUGAGACCAAGUUCAAAAUGGUGCCAGCGCUUAAUUAAUUAUUUUAAUUGGAGAGUUUGCAAUUUCUCCUUAUGCCUGCGUAGCUUUUCUGCAGGUACAGUACUUCAGUUUCCUCCCACUUUCCCAAAACAUGCAUAGUAGGUUAAUUGGACAUUCUAUAUUAUCCCUCACUGUGAGUGUGAAUGGUCGCAUGUCUUUGUGUGUCCUGCAGUUGGUUGGCAACCAGUUCAGGGUGUAAUCAUAUACAGUAAUACAAAAAAAUUAAUAGAAUGAAAUCAAUUCAAUUCUACACUAUACGCAAAUAUACUGCGAUGCACCUGACUAUGAAAUAAUUUGUAAUCAAGAAGAGUCCUCUGGAAGAGAAAAUAUUUAAGGACACCGUUGGGAUUUGGUUUGAAUUUAAUGACUAAAAUGGACUGCAAAGCCGUAUCCGGCACACUGAACAUCAAUCAGUCAAAAUCGGACACAAAAAAAGAAACCGUAAGGCUGCAGUCUUCCAAAACAACCGAAAGUUUACAAUAUCAACCACAUUCUUCAAUAAAAUUCAACCUUACGUUACGACUGCAAUAAAGCGAGAGCGUCUAUGAGUCACGAGCAUUUUUUUUCCUUUUUUAAACAUCUAGCAGCAACAGAAAUAGAGGAUCAUGACCCCCCUCGCAGUGCAGCUACCGAUCCGUGGCAGUCAAAUAGAUGUCUCUUCACCGUAUUACUCUCUAAAUGUAGGCCUUUAGCAUCAUUACGUCCAUCUCGACCAUUUUUAUUGGCUUGUGAUAGCUUGCUCCAAAAGGGUGAGGACGGUCUGGGUCUGGGUCUGCCAGUUUUGUUUAUAAAAAAAGUGGACCAGCAGUCUCUUAAAAUGAAACAAUGAUCCUAAAAUAUAUACACACAUCUACACAGAAGAAGCUACUUGUUAGCAACUUUUAAAGCAGUUGGGAAAUGGGCUUGUGGGUAUCAGUGCAAAGGACAAAUCAAAUUUAAAAUAUUAAAAUAAUAUAAAUUAAAAGAAUAAAUGUGGCCAGGUAAAAGUUAAGGUCGUUUCACCAUUGAAACAUCAAUAUAAAUAGAGAUACAGAAAUCAAGCAAGCUCAUGUCAAACACUUUCAGAACAGUACAAAAUUAAUAGAAAUCAACAAUUCAUGCUUUCAUUGGCCAGAACAAGCUCUAGUUGGCUUCCUAUUUCACCAGUUUUUUUUUAUACAACUAACUGAAUAUCAAAGAUACAUGAUCCAACCAUUGUUGCAGGUGUUGUUAAAAUCAACAUUUAAAAAAGGCGGUGGGGGGAUGUGGGGA